UGUUGAGUGGCAAACGUUCAACAAAAUGGCUGGGCUGCGUUCAGCCCCGACAGAACGUUGCACAACGUUUAUUAAACAGAAACGGUGAUGCAUUGAACACCCUGUUGUGAUGACGCAAGAGUUGCAACUACGCGACAUUCAGUACUGUAUAACCAACCAGAGAUGUAGACGUAAACAGGAACAGAUGAAUAUACAGCCCUUAGAAAUACUUUUUCUUGGUGAUCAACUGCUAUUGACAUUUUUUAAUUGGGACCAAUGACAAGUGAUUUGGAAAAAAAAAACGUUGGCAAAACAUCCCUUCCAGGUGGC